UGGGGCAUAUUGCACAAUGGGGGAAACCCUGAUGCAGCAACGCCGCGUGAGUGAAGAAGUAUUUCGGUAUGUAAAGCCCUAUCAGCAGGGAAGAAGAUGACGGUACCUGAUGAAGAAGCACCGGCUAACUACGGGCCAGCAGCCGCGGUAAUACGUAGGGGGCAAGCGUUAUCCGGAUUUACUGGGUGUAAAGGGAGCGCAGACGGCAGUGCAAGUCUGGAGUGAAAGCCCGGGGCCCAACCCCGGAACUGCUCUGGAAACUGUGCGGCUAGAGUACUGGAGGGGCAGGCGGAAUUCCUAGUGUAGCGGUGAAAUGCGUAGAUAUUAGGAGGAACACCAGUGGCGAAGGCGGCCUGCUGGACAGUAACUGACGUUGAGGCUCGAAAGCGUGGGGAGCAAACAGG
rnacentral:rRNA from 1 species